rnacentral:rRNA from 1 species
GAUGAACGCUAGCGGCAGGCUUAACACAUGCAAGUCGAGGGGUAUAGUUCUUCGGAGCUAGAGACCGGCGCACGGGUGCGUAACGCGUAUGCAAUCUACCUUUCACAGAGGGAUAGCCCAGAGAAAUUUGGAUUAAUACCUCAUAGUAUUAUGAAAUGGCAUCAUUUUAUAAUUAAAGUCACAACGGUGAAAGAUGAGCAUGCGUCCCAUUAGCUAGUUGGUAAGGUAACGGCUUACCAAGGCUACGAUGGGUAGGGGUCCUGAGAGGGAGAUCCCCCACACUGGUACUGAGACACGGACCAGACUCCUACGGGAGGCAGCAGUGAGGAAUAUUGGACAAUGGGCGCAAGCCUGAUCCAGCCAUGCCGCGUGCAGGAUGACGGUCCUAUGGAUUGUAAACUGCUUUUGCACAGGAAGAAACAACUCUACGUGUAGAGUCUUGACGGUACUGUGAGAAUAAGGAUCGGCUAACUCCGUGCCAGCAGCCGCGGUAAUACGGAGGAUCCAAGCGUUAUCCGGAAUCAUUGGGUUUAAAGGGUCCGUAGGCGGUUUAGUAAGUCAGUGGUGAAAGCCCAUCGCUCAACGGUGGAACGGCCAUUGAUACUGCUAGACUUGAAUUAUUAGGAAGUAACUAGAAUAUGUAGUGUAGCGGUGAAAUGCUUAGAGAUUACAUGGAAUACCAAUUGCGAAAGGCAGGUUACUACUAAUGGAUUGACGCUGAUGGACGAAAGCGUGGGUAGCGAACAGGAUUAGAUACCCUGGUAGUCCACGCCGUAAACGAUGGAUACUAGCUGUUGGAAGCAAUUUCAGUGGCUAAGCGAAAGUGAUAGUAUCCCACCUGGGGAGUACGUUCGCAGAUGAA